AUGGCAGGGGCGGGGCGGGGGGGGACAGGCAGAAAAGCUCCUUUGGCUCCUUAUGGCAAGCUCAGUUUCUUCACCCAAAGGAGACCUAACUGCAGGGUUUUUGCAUAUAUUCUGGGUGAUUAUGAUAGCAACCUCUGGAGAAAGGAAAGCAAUUAAUUAAAGUGAGGAAGCCGCGACGUCAGCUGCGUGCUGCUUUGCAAAGUCUGCAGCAAACGUAACAGGUGCCGGGGCAGAUCGCGGCGUCCUUGGCCGGCUUCCUCCCGGCUAUAUCUGGCCGGCAAACCUGAUCCGCAGUUAAAAAUUGCCUCUCUGAGGGGCGGCGCGCUGCCGAGCUGCGGGCCCCGGGGUGCUCUCCCAGCUGUGCCGUGCUCCCCGGCCUGGGGCUUCAGGCCUUGUGCAUGGGCACGCGUGUUUUCAAAGCAGCCAAGGGAAGGAAAAGCAAUUAGGAAAGCUCUGCCUUAUCCUAAUUAGAGCCAGUAUCGGAGCUGCAUUAGAGCUGUUAUCUCAAGUUUUCCAACGCUGUUCCCCAAUGGGCUGGGAAUGUGUCUCCGCUUCUCGUUCUUUUUCCCUGCUUUUCUCCCUCCUCCCAGUGACACUGUUUGACAGGCUUUGAGCUCCAGGACACUCCUGGGGUUUGUAUUUACCUUUGGAGUUGCAACAUUUUAAAUCUAGUUGGAAUGUCUCGAUGUUUUCAAUAUUUAUAGCUCAUUAAUUCAUACAAUGAGAUCCUUCUGCGCUUCUUUACCCAGCGUUUAAUGAGGAGGGGUUGCCAGAAUCUCUGUCCCUGUCUCCUGGUGUCUAUCUCACAGGUUUUCUAUUGAAUUAACUCAAGGUAUGCAUUGACUAAACAUCUUCAGAGUCGCUGGACAAACAGACUAUGUAAUGUUCAUAAAUUAAUGCAAAUCAGCUUCAAAUAUGUCAAACUAGCUCCCCUAGGAAUCCCUGGACCUCAGCAUAUUGUGACAGUUCUUGUUGAAGCAAAUCUGGAUCUUUCAGCGCAAAUAAUGGGAGUGCUUUCAUCCUGAGCAGUAUUACCAGUGAGACUAAUGUGCCAUUCUCCUUCUUAAAACUAUAGUCUCAUCAGAUAUAAAUUAAACCAUUGGGAGUGCAGGAAAAGAAAAUGUGAGUGGUAUUUGCAUGUAUUGUCCCUCCUUUUCAUCUGCCACAGGAAUCUCAUUGUGGUGCCUUUUUAAUGACAAUACUGCUAUUACAGUGAAUGAUUAAACAGUUGCAGCCUUUCAUAUUCUGGGCUUUCAGAUUUGGAGAUUCUGUUACACGUGUAAAAUAUUUGCAUGCAUUUGAGAUAUAAUUAAUUAUGUAUUGCUUGAAAGCCUCAUAUCACACACUGCAAAUCUCACAGGUUUCCUCCCAUGGAUAUUUCCAUAUCCCUGAAGGGACUGAUUCAACUGACGGUUGUUGCUAAUCGAUGAUUGUCUGUGAGGUGGCUUUUGAACAUGUUUACAGGUGACUUUACCUACAGUAAAGGCACUGUCAAGUGCCACCGCCUGCUCAGCUUGCUGCUUGCGGGAGGCUGCAAACCCCGGGAGCUUCUGUGGCCGCUGGUGGCCAGGGUUUGCCUUUUAGUCCCCACUAGUGACGACCACUCGGGCGCAGAUCUUGUUCUCCCUGACUCGGUGCUCCCAUGCUGCCGGGGUGCAGAUGUGCUAUUUAUUAUUUCCACCAUUACUGGAAGAGCCAAGUGUGUGAUUGUUAUUCACAAGGGCAGCACCUCGCUAUUAUUUGCGCUGAAAAAAGCAAGCAUUACCACUCAAAUACACUACUGCCCCAACACAUCUCCCUAACUAAACAUGCUCAUCCUGUUCCAAGAUGGUAGAUUUUGUUGCAGAUAGGAGAUGUUCACAUUCUUUCCUUGAAGUUCGUCUCCUCCACAUAUCAAAAAAUGUUAACAAAUGGGCAUAAUAUAUGCCCUGGGGAGCAGGCAAAGCUGCUUUUCUUUUUCUUGGCUGGCUUAAUUCAUUCUGGAAUUGUGUGACUUUUCAUCUUGCAUUUGAAGGAAAAGGCAAACUUGCAGUGUAAAAGUAGCAUGAUAAAUUGUGGAAAAAUAACUUGCUGGCUUUCUUAAGAAACUUUCUCCUCCAGCUCCUCCUCUCGCUGUACUCCUUCCAGCGCCCCAGAAUUCAUUGCAUCAGUGCAUGUUAUGGCACCUUUGGGAUGCGUUAGUCAUAAGCAUGGAGCUACUGGUGCUUUGCAGGCAUAUUUUAACUCUGGCUCUCACACGAAUGCUCUGACACAUCCGUGCUGUCUGCACGUCUGGGUAGCGUUUGCUUGCGGGCGUCUCCUGAGAUUCCAGGCAGCUCAAAAAAGGAAACAUCUAAUUUAUAUUCGCUAAGGUAUGCGUGAGGUCCUUUUGUUAUUCUUUGGUGGUGGUGAGGGCUUUUGAGUACAGCGUUAAUGUGGGAUGAAGGCAAGACCGAUGGCUCAAAUGGGAACUUGGGCCUUCUGCUGCAAUGUCCCCCCUGCAGUCCUGGCCUCUUGCUGCUCAAUGCUGCAGGGUGGCUAGAGACAGCGCAGAGGCUGCGUUAGUUUGGCCAGUCUUGCUCCUGUGCCCCUCGGUACUAUUUUCUGUGGUGUGGUUUGUCCGGAGGGUCCACGCAUCCCUGCCUCGGGCUGUGGCGGCAGCAUCGUCCGGCCUCUUGGCACGCCGGCCACCGCAUCGCGCUCCUGGUGAUGCUUCCCUCCCUAAUGGUCAACGGGCAUCAGGGACUGAACAAAUGCAGCCGCCAGGAAUUUGCACUGGCAUCGGGAGAAAUCAUAAUAUCUGCCUUAGCCUAACUGCUGUUGUGACGCACCAAAUUGCCUGUGUAAUUCUGCGCUUUGUGCAGAAGAUCUGAAAUGGACUGGAUCUGAGCCUGCCUCUUCUUCCUUUGAAUUCAUCCAGAUCUCCGAAUUCAUCUGGGCUGCUGUGAGGAAAUCUGGCAGCAUGAAGUCACCUUUAUAUGUCCUGGAUGUAUUUCAUCACGCUGAUGUAAGGACUGAUGUCACCAGUGUCAAUAUCGUAUUUAUGAAGGUGGAGAUCAAUACUAGAUUUAAGAUCCAUUGACAGAAUUAUAGCUCUGACUGCAUUUGCCCUUCUUUGGCUGACUGGGAGCCAGAGGGGUUUUUCCAUGUCAUUCAGUUAAAGGAGUUUCCACUGACUGGCUUUCUCCUCUCACUACACACACCACAGCAACAACAGUCAUUAUCAUAACAAAAAAACCCUCCAUGGAAAUAGUAAAAAUUUAUGAAACAAAUCUCCGAAGAACAAAACAUCGAGCUAGCAAAGAAACUGAAUGCGAGAAAACAGCCAAUGAAUAUUGUGAAAAAUUGAUGAGCAGAGUCGAAAUGAAUAAACAAGCAGCAUCUUCUUAAUUAGGUAUUGUUAUAAUGCUACUCCUCUGGUUUAAAAUGCUAACGUUUAUAUCCAUCCAGAAUUUUGGCAAUCAGAUAACGGUGGGUUCAGGCAUUUGAGCUCUCUGAUGUUCUCUUUGUGACACAAAAAUUAUGCACACUUUUUCCAGGAAAAAUUAUCAGUAUUUUAUUCCAGGCCGUUUAACAAAUCAAAGCUGUCACUAUAGUCGGGAGAAACAUUCAUCGGCUAUCCACACUAUCCUCCUGCUAUGGCUCGGAGGGCGCGGACUUUCAAAUUCAUUGCCAGAGACUCACUGGAGCGCUACUUUCUGCCCAAAAAGCACUGAAAGGAGAGAGGGAAAAGCUCGAAGGAAAAGCAUUCAGACAAGAGGCAGGCAUGCCUGCAGGAAAGGAGCUCGGGGAGCGAGCAAGCGUGGCGAUAAGGCUUAUGCUGGAGUCAUGGGGUCUCUCCAGGCUGCGGCUAUUUCUUUACUACGUCUGUGCAAUGCAGAGCACAAUGGGGCUUCUUUCCUGACAGGGGCCUUUCGGAACAGCAUUAAUAUAUGUGUGUAGGAAGAAAUAAUAUUUUGUAUUAAAAUACCUUUAUCUGGCAGGAUAUGCAUGUGCCUAUGCAGAAAACAACAGAAGAGAUAUGAUCUGCCUGAACAGAGCACUGGGGAACGAGGCAAACACUCCAGUCGAGCUUUGCCGUGCGGUCUUGCUCGAGCCACUUCCUCUCCCUAUGCCCCGUUUCUCCUCCAGUCCUCUGUCUGUCUUCCAUACUUAACUCUUAAAUUGGUCAAGACAGACUUUAUCCCCCUGUGUUUAAGCAGGCACCUACAGCUUAAGCUCUCUUGAGGCUUCUGGGUGCUGCCAUAUAAUAAAACCUUUAACACCUUAAUCACUGAUUUGUUUCCAGAAGCAGACUGAAGGCUUUAAAUUUUCCUGCUGAAAGUUUACACAUGCAUACAUAUAUAUAUAUAUAUUUAUAUAUAGGCUUCAUGCUCACCAUCUGAAAGUCCAUCACCCUCACUAAUUUGUCAGCCUCCUGUUAACUUUCUGACUCUCCCAAGCAAUUUGGGACACUCAAACACUCACAGGUGGCAGCAUUUCUUCCUGAACCCAUGAUGACAGUCGUAACUUCCUCUUAGCCUGAAGAUCUUUCUUAUGCUCCUAAUCUUUCUGAAACCAUCAUUUCUUAUCCAAAGCCGCUUAAGCAGUUGGAGUGUAACGUUCAUUUCCAGGCAGUAUGUCCACAAACUUGUGUAAGGACUGUUUUGCAAACUGAGCUGGCUAUAAUCUGGAGUAAAAUUAAACCUUAAUCUCUGUGUCCUGAAGGAAAGAUUUGUCACUGCCCAACAAACAUGUAUCUUAAUAAAAACAUUAAUUCCUGUGAAGCACAAAUCCAUUCAUAUCCAGUGGCUUAAAAGGAUGUGCCUAUGCACGUGGGAACUUUGGAUUUUCCUUCAUCUGAAUCAGUUUGUUGCUGUUAAGACAGGCUUAAACCUAAGCACCAGGAACUCUUAAAGAAGAUGCGUCAUUAUCAGGACCUAAAUCACACAAGCACCUCCAGACCGCGAAGGGGCUCCCGGUGUCAGUGCCAUGGGGUGAGAGCGAGCUCCUGCCCGAGCCGCAGGCAAAGGGCAGCUCCUCGCCCCCCUCCCUAGAACAGGAUCUAAGUUGCAGAUGAAUUAAAGGCUCUUUUUCUUGUGUGACACCGGACCGUAGCAGAGGUUAGAAAUCAACCUAGGUCUCCUGAGUCACUGCCCUGUGCACUAACCACAAGAUUUUUUGUCCUCUCCAUUUCUCAACUGCUAGUAAUUAUGCUUAGAAAUGUUCUGGAAGCCAAAACAAACAAGCUAGAUGUUUCCAGUGAGCUUUCAGUUUGUUAUUAAUCCUUCAAAGACAGUUUUGUCCACAAGGAAACACAGAAAGUUAUCAUGUUGCUAAGCCCACUUCUCUGCUUUGCAUGUUUGUGGCAUCAUUUCUCUCUGAUGAGCGAAUUUGCGUACAAGCUGACAUCUCUCCCCUUGGACCGGAUAUUCUCCCUCUCACAUGAUGGGGAAAACAAAUUCCAUGCUGAAUCAGAACCCAGCCUGCACAACUAAUAUGAUCUGGAUUCAUUUCAAACAACAAGGAUUUUGGUCACUCAAGGCCUACCUCAGAACUGACUGGAAGUAAUUUUGUGUGUAUUUUUUUUCCCACCAUACUACGAAGUGCUACCUCAUGAGCAUAGCAUCCUGGAAUGACAGUAAAACUCUUCAAAAAUAUCAGAUUUUUUUUCUUCAGAUUUCCUAUUGCUUAUCUCUAAUUUUAAAAAGAAUCUAUAAUAAAUAGGCAUUUAGUGGGUUUCUCUACAUUACAUUAAAUUUACAUGGAUGUGAAAAUUCUAGCACCUACACGUCCUACAGUGACUCACUGGAAUGUGCUUAUCACAGAUGGAUCUAUUAAAGAAAGUCAUCCUUAUUGGUACUUAGACCUUGCCUUUUUCCUUGGAGCCUAUUCAUGCAUGACCUCAUAAAGCUUCCCAAGAGUUGGAUGAAGACUAGGUGCAGUGUCCUCCUAAUUAGUAUACUAUCUCACUUUGCAUCAUAUUUUACAAUCAGCAGACAUUAUCUGGGCAAUCUAAUUGAAGCAAAACUGAUGGGAAUAUUUCAAUUCUGUUAUUGACUUUUCUUCUCCAGCUUUGCAAUCAAUUCCUGUUGCCGCAGGCGGGCUGCCGUGGCAGGGACAGACUAGCUGUGCUCCAUCACAAACGCCAGCCGAAGCCCAAGCUGCCUUGUAAGACUUUUGGAGGCCUACUCUGUGUCAUUUGGCAGCUCUGCCGCUGCUGCUGCUACUCCUGAUGCUGGUGUGGCAAUGUAACAUGCUCAGGAAUUGAUAUCCUUUACUGCAGAAGCAUAACACAAUCUCAAACCUCAUGGUCGCAGUUCAAGUACAGCCACGGACAGCGAUGUUAGGGGAGCGCUGGCUCUCUGUCAGGCUCUGCUGGCCUGAAGAGUGAGGUGAGCAUGUUUUCCAAAGAAUGACUAAGGCAGCUGCAAGAUAUAGGUUUCACUUUAUCAGUCCCUCAAGGAGAAAACAACUUUGCUUGCCAUUAAAGUCUGCCUGGAAGCUGCGAUAACUGUCCUGAAAAAUUAAAGGAUGGAAAUGGAAUUUCUGUAAAGUGUGUUCCAGUUCACCGCUCAGAAGCUGAAGCACCAAAGGGGAAGAAUAGCUGCUCCAAAUAUAUAGCCAUAAUCUGGGCAGAACCUUGCAAAAAAGUGACAUGCAAAACCUUGUGGAUCACGUGCAGACUUGAGUUGUCUCUUGGUCCACCACAUUAAGAGAGAGCAAGACUGCGAGAACAAAUACAAUCUGCAGGAGGUGCUCCUAGGAAAAAUAAUGCUGUAUUACGCAAUUUAUCUUGCUAGUGUUACUUCCUGUCUCCUUGCCUUGUCUUGGUGCUUUGCCCAACAAAGCUAUCGUCCACUGUAAAUGCAGUGGAGUAUGUCAAAAAGUAGCAAUGAGGAUUUAUGCAGGUAGAUUGCCAUUUGUUGACCACUGCUAAUGAUCAUAGCUGUCUGGGAGAAUGAGGAUGCAUGCGGCUGUGUCUGUCUGCUUGUGGUUCUUUUGAAAAAUUUUGACAGCGACUGCAAAAUGUCUCAACAGCCUUCGGCUCACCCAUCACUACUCACUGCCUCCAUUUGUGAUUCAGGUACGUCUUACAGGUAACAUUUUAACCAGAACAAUUAUCCUUUGCUGAAUUAGCAGAAGGGAGCAAGGUUUGUUUCAAGUCUGGCACUUGCUAUAACCGGGAUCAGGGCCAUGCGAUAGGCCCAGUUUGGCUGAACUGCCUUUAAAAAUCAUAGCCUGUUGCUAAAAUGGCCCCAGCCCUACCUACCUUACACUCCUUGCCACACACCCCUGCUGCAGACAUUUGUAAGAUGCCUCAGUAAUUCUCAGAUAUCAUCAUUAUACCAAAGCUAUGAAGAAUUCCACGGUCCCACAUGAAAUUGUACUUGGAAUGCAAACUAGAACUACUGGGCAAGACAAAUUAAUUAGCUGUAUUCUUGCUAGUAUUUUAUGGAGCUCUCUGUGCUCCAGGGAUCUCACUGUACCUUCUGAGGCUUCAGAAGGACACAAAAUCAUAUUGUCCCAAGCCUGCAUUGUCCCUGCAAUAUAUCCCUUCAAGUCCCUGCAGCAUACAUACGGGUAAUCAUUGGAAGGCAUAAUUAAUUGGCAUAGUUGGCAGGCCCUGCAGAUGCAACUGAUAAAAGUGGACUCAGGAAGACGUUGUGUAUCCUCCUCUGCAUGUGAUCAGACUUGUUCUCCAAAGCAGGUCUAGGUCUAGCAGGAACUCAGUUUCAGAGCUAAGGGCUUCCACUUCUGAAAACAUCCUAUCCUCAACACAACUGAGUUUCACUAUAUAGAGAUUUUGGUAGUAUUUUUCAUGGGUGGUGGCUGAAAUCAGAGACAGUUUUAAGAAGACAGGGUGAAAAUUAAGGUAAUGCACCAGAUGUGACUGGAUAGUUAUCCUGCAUCUGGGCCAUCCUUAUCCUCCAUCUCUCAUCCUUGAACCCAGGAUUUUCCUUUAAUGUUACUGCAGUUCUUCCCCUUUAUGUAUUUUGAAGCCCCUCCAAAAUUGGAAAAUUGUGAUCACGGCUGAAUUUACACCAAAGAAAAUUAACAUAGGGAUCUAGCAGCUUUGCCAAGGACACUGUGUACAUAUGCUCAUAUAGGGUGCUUAUAGUUCUGGCAUCUCUCAUCACUUCUCAAGGUGGAGCCCCCACCAGUGUAACAACAAAGGUGUUAGAUUUUUUUGUUAAAUUAGCAUUUGAUAUUGUAAAAUAAACUGUAUAGAAAUGGCAUCCAGAUUAAGAUGUAGCAGUGCUUCUCAGGAAUGAUCAGUGUUGGAGUCUGUAUCAUCUCACCAUGUACUCAUCAAGGUAUGGAGGCCUGAUGUGUGGGGAAAGAUGCAUAUUGAGCAGCCUGCUACCAACAUAUCUGAAACCUCUGGUCUAAAAUCUGAACCUAGACUUACUGCAGCUGAAUUACAAUCAACUCCUAAAAUCACUACAAAGGCUUUUGGAUAUAGCAAAACAUUCAGUGGCUGUGAGGGUUAUGUUACACCUUGUGACUGAGAAAACGUCCGGUAGCAGUCAGUUAGUCACGCCGUCUAUAACGUAAUUACAGAUUCACAAAUCCAGAGUAUGUUUUGGAUUUGCUCCACAGACACUGGGUAAUUGCUACCCAGAGAUCCAAGGCUUUUCAAGGAUUUAUAGGGCUGGCAUGUGGUAUAGCCUGUGGAAAAACAGCAGAUCAGGCAUGAUAUAACAGGUAUGGGACUGUAUAUUAAUUUCCGCAGAAGCCCUUGUGGGUAAACUGAUGCAAGACCAAACUGAGCAUCAACUAGCAAUUGUGCCAUAAGUGAACACUUGCUGAUCGGUGUUCAUGCUUAGGCUAAAGGUUUCUUUGCAGGGUCAGCUAGGAUGAGAUCAUUAGUAUUCUUUGAGGAACGCCUAAUUGUACCCACAGGAGUUCUGUGGGAAGAAAAAAUGAUCACUUAUUAAGUAAAAGUGCUAAAAGAUUUUACCGAUUGCCUGCUGACAAAUCAGUGGAACAUCUGAGUAUUUGUCUCUGGUGCAACUCUAUCAAGACCAGCAAAACCACAGCAGAGUUGGACCUAUUUUGUCCCACUGCCUUUUGAGCCAUUCAGUAUUUUCUGAAUUCUUCCCUCUCUCAUUUUUCAUAUUUGCUAUGAGUUUCUCAGCAGGCAGUGGAGACAAGGUACAUGCUGAGUGAUCAUCCUGUCCAGUUUUCCACAUCUGACACUUUAAAAAAAAUAUAGGUAGAGAGGAAAGAAUGGUUUGCAGUGAAUGAUAACAGCUCUGCCUGUUGCUACCACAGGACAUCUUUGAUGUGAGGAUGGUACUGUUAACAAACACAUGCUAAUUGCUGUUCAAUGACAUGCUGGGAAAGUAGGCAACUUUGGUGGCAACAGCCCAUUCGAGCAAAGGGAUUGGACAGGAGCACGCUGAAAAUCAGUGGCAGAGCAGGAACGGAGUCCAAGCGAGGCCUAAGCAAGUCUUUUGUGCUGCCGUCUGCCUUGCUCCGGGGGCUGCUGGGCUGUCAUGGCUUACCUGGGCUGAGUUUCAAGUUGACCUCGCCUGAUUCAUGGGCUGGAUGGAGACCUAUAAAACCUGCGGCAAUUCUGCGUGGGGGUUCGCUGUGAAACUCAGCGAAACUGUGGAGCUCCAGCUGAGCUUUGUCCUGAUUUUUCUGAAACUCGGAUAAAUGUAAACCAAAAGCCUCAGCCCAAAUACUGCCAAAUUAUGGGGAAUGCGCCAAAUGGAGAGUAUUUUUAAAUAUCUUUCCCUGUUUUGUGGCUUCUGGGAUGGGCAUAGAGAUAGUAUGCAAUAAACAAAGGAAUACAGA